rnacentral:rRNA from 1 species
UACGAAGGGAGCGAGCGUUGUUCGGAAUCACUGGGCUUAAAGCGUGCGUAGGCGGAUGUGUAAGUAAGAAGUGAAAUCCCAGGGCUUAACCCUGGAACUGCUUUUUAGACUGCACGUCUGGAAUUCGGUAGAGGUUGGUGGAACUCCUAGUGUAGAGGUGAAAUUCGCAGAUAUUAGGAAGAACACCGGUGGCGAAGGCGACCAACUGGACCGAUAUUGACGCUGAGGCACGAAAGCGUGGGUAGCAAACAGG